rnacentral:lncRNA from 1 species
UGUAUUAAAUACAACCUUGGCUUCGUGGCCCAAAUAAAUAAAUAAGAAUGUAAAUAACUAAAUAAAGACGACAAUAAGUAAAUAAACAAAUAACAAAUGAGCCUUUUUCUUUUUUGGUCUUGUAGCCGCUUCAAAUGUGGAACUUUAACCCAUUCUUCGCCCUUUGAUUCCUUGUAUUGUGCCAUAAGAUUGAUGUAAUCGAUUUUAUGUCCUCCAAAGGGUGGGCCUCCAUGGCCCGUAGCGUAAUGCAAAGAAAAGAGCUUAAUUGGACUCCCAAGAUAGUUCAUGCAAAAAAAAAAAAAAAUUAAUAUCUACCCGAAACGCCACAUGACAUAAUGCGGGAACAAAUGGCCCAAGGUUUCGAGAGUAAAAAAAAAAUGAUACAAAGCAAAACACAUCUUUUAACAUAAUAUAAACAUUAACUCACGCGACAAGGAAGCAGGUGAAAUUUAACUCGAAUAGAGGGAAUCGUCAAGUUUCAACUAAACCAACAUUAUCGGUAAUGCAAACAUUCCAAUUAUAGCAAUGAAGCUACACGGCAAAGAUUGAUCGAAGCCGACAUAGGUCGCCUACGUAUCCCGUUCUUGGAAAUUCAGGUCAAACGUAGUUCAUAGAUAAACUCAUAAUGGCCCUAAAAAUACUCUUAUCCACCUUACUAGGGUAUAAAUAAGUACUUCUAUGGAUGAUAUGACAUUUGCAUUGCGUUUGUCUUGAUAGAACAAAGUAUCAAAUGUCCAAUGGAGUCAUCGCCUUCCUAGUUAACCACCCCGGUUUCCUCUAGAUUAGGCUUCUUUGAUUCUCGAACUCUUUAACUCUUCUGUUGACUGUUCUAGGCUAUCAUUAUUUUGCUUCUUGACAUGACAUGAUAAAGGCAAGUUUUAAGUUACUGUUAUACGACGGGUGAUGAGUCAUGAGUGGAGUGGAGGUCCAAUUCAACAAUGUUUCCUCCAAUUAAUCUUCCAUGAUCCCGAUUGUCUUGGAAAAUUCUUCCCUUAUAUUUUUCUUGUUCCAUCCUCGAGACCAUCACUUACAGGGUUGAAAAAUGAUUGGUAGAGUCUAGUUUUACUACUAGUCAUUUUUCUUUUCCUGUAACGAAGCGAUAGUCAAGAAGGGGAUCUCUUAUUCAUUUUGAUCUGGUGAAGUAGGGUUAUUUUGUACCAACACAGAGUAGUUUCUAUUACCUGCAAAGUAAAAAUAACUCAAAUGAUGACGUGUUAGAUUCCGUUAGUAAUAAGUAAAGCAAGAUGAUAAGGUAGGAAGCAAACAUGUAGAGUUGUUUCUCAUCUCAUGCGAAUUGAUCCAUAAAGUAAUGAUGACUUGGGGAUUUUAAUGAACAGGAUAUUGCUCAAUGAUAUGGAUAGGUGGAAUUUAUUGGGAAGAUUCAACUCUUCUUCCUUCAAGAAAGUGGAGGACAACAUAGCUUUUGGAGAUAUGGGCCGGGGCGAAAGGCUGCCUAUGUAUCUCACGAAGGAGAAAUCAGGCCCUGCGUAGUUCGAACUAUAAUGGCAUUUUCUGAUUCUAAAGUCAACUUUCCUAAAAUGGUAGCGAUUAUUUUGGAAGUUUUGAGAAUAAGUACGGACUUUUUUGAGAAACUUGGGAGACUUGGAGUACUUUUGGUCGAACUUUUGUAUAGCCGGUAUGUUUCUGCCUAGAGAUGUUCUAUGAAAAAUGGGAUUGGAUCAUUUCACCUUUGAUUCGAAUCAACACAACACGUAUAAGCACAUAAACAGUUAUAUUACACAAGCAUAUUGUAAUAAAAGUGCAUCCUAAUUAUGUGACCCAUUUGAGCCAAGGGUUUAGGCCUAAGAAAUUUUGAAGAAAAUAUACGCCUUUUAAAAGAUAAUCCAUUAUCCCCAUAAACCUUCAUAGGUAUACCUAAAUGAUUUAAAUGUCUACAAAAGUUGUACAAAAGAGAUACAAUCUUUAGGGAAAGGGAAUAAUAUACCACGCAGGGGAUACUAAUUACUGAAUGCUUCUUCUAUCGGCGUUCGCGCUUUUAGCUUUGUCCACUCCUCAUUAUUGGAAACAUCCGUUAAUGAUCAAGCGAUUGAUGCAUCCUUAUACAAAAAUGAGUAAAACAAGUCUUCUCCCGACCCCAAAGGAUAAAGGAUUGGAUUAAACAAACAUAUAUUUAUUCAACACAUAAAUAUGAUUUGUCUGUAAUUGNNNNNNNNNNNNNGAAAGCUUUCUAAUGGGUCCAAUACCCCUUUCGAGUAUUAGGUCGUCCUAGGCUCAUGCCUAAAUAGGAUUUUGGUUUCAUUCUAUCCUAGGUGUCUAGAGUGGGUCUGAACACUGGUUCUCAAGACGACAACUUGAGUUUGAAAAUACGAAUUGCCAUUAGACGACUCACGUGCUAAUAAGCCGUUCGUAUUUCAACACAUUUUUGAAAUUGAACAACAGGGGCCGAGACAUCUACGAAACCCAAAACAGUCUAAAUAACGCAAGAAUAUGCCAUGAGAUACGAUAGUUAAACUUUACAUAAUCGAAACAUAUAAACACAUAGGCAGUUAAUUGAAAGACGAAAUCAUUUAGUUAGAACCUAGUUAAAGAUUCACAACUGAGUCGUCAUUUCUGUUUUGCGGAAUUUUUUACUUUUGAAAGUGUCGCCACUUAAUUUUGAAAAGGAAUUAAAAACCUUUAUAAAACACUUUAAACGAUCUAAAACAAAAAAAUCGUUUAAGUUAAGAAAUUCUAAGUAAGCGCUUCCUAUUAACGUUUUAGGAAGGUGUUAGGCACCUAAAACGUCCGCUAAAUUGCAAUUAUCCAAACUAUUUGAAAAUCGUCUUUUGAUUAACUUUGGAAAAUCGAUUUGUUGAAAAAGAAUUGGAUUAAGAAAAAGGAUUUCGCGAAAUCAAUUUUUUAGAGACUUAGUUAGGGAUUUAACUAGGUUCGCAAAGAAACAAGCAAACAAGUAAAUGAAAAGGGAAUAAGCGGGAAAGUAAUGAUUUAGGCUUUUAAGCCCAAACCACCCUGGUCUAAUCUAGUUGGGCUUUCGACCCAUUUGCACCUGUCUUGAUUCUAUGUUUUCGAGCCUUUAGCUCGAGUCUCGCUCCACCUGUAUUAAAUACAACCUUGGCUUCGUGGCCCGAAUAAAUAAAUAAGAAAGUAAAUAAAUAAAUAAAGACGAUAAUAAGUAAAUAAACAAAUAACAAAUGAGCCUUUUUUUUUUUUUUUGGUCUUGUAGCCGCUUCAAAUGUGGAACUUUAACCCAAUCUUCGCCCUUUGAUUGCAUGUAUUUAUAUUGUGCCAUAAGAUUGAUGUAAUCAAUUUUAUGUCCUCUAAAGGGUGGGCCUCCGUGGCCCAUUGCGUAAUGCAAAGAAAAAGAGCUCAAUUGGACUCCCAAGAUAGUUCAUGCAAAAAAAAAAAUAAAAAAAAUUAAUAUCUCUCCGAAACGCCACGUGACAUAAUGCGGGAACAAAUGGCCCAAGGUUUCGAGAGUUAAAAAAAACGAUACAAAGCAACACACAUCUUUUAACAUAAUAUAAACAUUAACUUACGUGACAAGGAAGCAGGUGAAAUUUAACUCUAAUAGAGGGAAUCGUCAAGUUUCAACUAAACCAACAUUAUCGGUAAUGCAAACAUUCCAAUUACAGCAAUGAAGCUACACGGCAAAGAUGGACAAGAUAAAUAAAUCGGGCAACAAAUAAGAGAAAUAUCACUGGAGAAGAAAACAAUAAGUGAAAACAAGAUUCUAAUAACAAAGAUGUACCAAAAUGAUAGAACUAGAUUAGGAAAAUUUCACCUUAUCAAACUUAUUAGCUUGCAACUAUGAUUCAACCAAAUGUAACUUCUCUUUAAUUAAGAAGGGGAAAAUAGGGAGAAGAAAGCAAAACAGUUCAGACAAGCAGAUUACUCAAUCAUAUAAUGAAUUAAAGGAUCAUAGCAUAAUGUAAUCAACUAAUAAUCUUGAAUCACCACAAAGCAACACCAAACUAGAACAUGGGAUUAGAUUUUCAACCGAGACUUGAAACGUGAGGAUACAGAUAAUGGGUCAAAUUUAAUUUUAUCGAUAAAUUAAAUAAACUGCAAUCCAAACUUUUGGAUAGGAACAAAAAUUUGAGGCAAAAGAAACAUUUAAUUAUGAAAAGAAAUAUUUUUGUUCACUUGACAUAAUGUUAAAGAAAGGAAACUUUCAGCUACAGGGGGUAUCACGAUAGGUUUUUACAGCAACUAAGCAACACAAACAUCAACUCAUUCGUAGAAGAACAAUAAAACUAGCAUUGUGACACUGGGAUACAAAGCAAUUAGUCAGAUACUAGCAACUUGGACCCUAAUGUUGAAAUACAAAAUAAUAUGUUGAUGACUUAACAAAAUCCACGUUGCAGUGAGUUUGAAGGCAAAACUGAGCACCAACUAUGAGACGAAAGCACUGAUUUAGUAGCUCAGCGGAUGAAAGGAAAAAAUCGUACAUAGAAUUUUCACCAAAAUCAAAGUUAACACCAAAUGAUGAUUGAGAUCCAACGAUAGAAAGUGUUCACAUAAACAGAGACCUAAAAAACAUAUUCAUGAUAUACAGAUGCCUAAAACAUUAACAGCUAACAAAUAACAUUACCAUGAGACAGUAAGCUUCAAACCAUCGAGUUGAAACAUACGAGAUUGACGAUUAAUCGAAAAGUUACGAUACAAACAGCGAUGCAACAAACAACUCAGCGACAAUCAUCACAAGUAAAUCCUAUAACCAUCAAAGCCAUCUACAGCAAGAAACCCAGCCUCAUUCAUCGACAAACAAAUAACGAUUUCUACGAAGAGAGAGGGAUGAAGAAGAAAACGAUAAGUUAAAAGGGGCGAGGGUAGGUUUACCUCCUUUGUGGCAGCAAAGCGGGACUCGAGCUAUCAGCAAAAUCGUCCCUAGUAGGAGAUUAUGUUGUCGACUUGGGAACUCUCAAUCAAUCGACUAGCUUCCCAGGAAGAAAAAAAAAAUGGAUGAGAAAACUUUUUUCAAAACAAACUCUUUACUUUCGGAGUUCCCAACCCCAAAUUUUGAACUAGCCUGAAGUUUUCUCCUUUAAACUCUUUCGAACCUUCGUCUCUAACCUUUCACCUUAGAGCUUCGACCCUCGAAUUUCCAAAGAAAAGAAAAAAAGAACCCCCAAAAUCUCCAACUUUUGUAGACUGCCAAGGAAUCGAACCCCUAGAAUUUUACCCAAACUUUCAAACCCUUCAAAGAAGAGAAAAAAUCUGAACCCCCCCUCUAAAACUGCGACCUGAUCUCUUCUUAUAUAGAAGAUGGAAACUCAAGGGUAUCUUAGGGAUUUUUCAAAGGGAAUUUGAAAUUCAAAACCCAUGGGAUCCCCCGAAUCGUCCCCGAUUUGGAUUUUUCCACAAAUUUGAAACCCCAUGGACCAAUCAAAUGCGGGAGGACAAAAUGUACCCAAGAACCAAUGAAAAUUUUCCAAAUAUGUACGAAUCCGUACGGGUUAUCCCAAAAUUUGCGGGAUUGGAUCGUUGGGAGGUAACACCUAGCUUGUUCUAGAAGGUUUCUUGGCGUCCUUUCAUACACAUCAGUGUAGAACGCGCGAGAGAGGAAAAAGCAAGUCGUUUGGAAUCAAUUUAGGGUUUAAAAUCGGGUCUAGAAUAGGUUGACAUUUGUUGGUGAUGUACGCCAUUUUUGGCUGCUUCUUGGCAUUGGAGACCCGUUCUUUGUUGAUUAAAGGAGAAAGGGGAAUUUUUGAUGGUG